rnacentral:lncRNA from 1 species
UUUUUUUUUUUUUAGUUUUUUUAUUUAGAUUUUGUUUAUCUAUUGGAAAAGUUUUUAGGAAUUUUUGGGCCCUUAUGACAGGUUUUUUUUUGGAAUAGGGGACUUGUAUCUAGUAGCCACGGCACUGUGUAUAAGUAACUAAAGGAAUGUUAUCAAUUUAUUAUAUGAAUCAUAAGCAUGUGCUUAUUUAUUACAAGUACCUUUGAUGGUGAAAAUUACAUUUUUUAUCUGAAGAGAGUUGGGAGAAAUGUUCAUAUUGAAACGAGAUAUUGUGUAAAGAGGUUUUCUAAGAAGUCGUUUUAACAACAAUGGAAAAGCUUCCGAUUUCCGAGAUAAACGUGAAAUCAUUUGAUACAUGGUUAAAGAAUCGUUUAAAAGUUUGCUUAAUUUUGACAGCGUAAUUUUAAUGACUAUUUUUUUUGAAAUAAACCAAUCAA